GAUGAACGCUGGCGGCGUGCCUAAUACAUGCAAGUCGAGCGAACGGACGAGAAGCUUGCUUCUCUGAUGUUAGCGGCGGACGGGUGAGUAACACGUGGAUAACCUACCUAUAAGACUGGGAUAACUUCGGGAAACCGGAGCUAAUACCGGAUAAUAUUUUGAACCGCAUGGUUCAAAAGUGAAAGACGGUCUUGCUGUCACUUAUAGAUGGAUCCGCGCUGCAUUAGCUAGUUGGUAAGGUAACGGCUUACCAAGGCAACGAUGCAUAGCCGACCUGAGAGGGUGAGAGGGCACACUGGAACUGAGACACGGUCCAGACUCCUACGGGAGGCAGCAGUAGGGAAUCUUCCGCAAUGGGCGAAAGCCUGACGGAGCAACGCCGCGUGAGUGAUGAAGGUCUUCGGAUCGUAAAACUCUGUUAUUAGGGAAGAACAUAUGUGUAAGUAACUGUGCACAUCUUGACGGUACCUAAUCAGAAAGCCACGGCUAACUACGUG
rnacentral:rRNA from 1 species